rnacentral:rRNA from 1 species
GACAGAGGGUGCAAACGUUGUUCGGAAUUACUGGGCGUAAAGGGCGCGUAGGCGGCCACCGCAAGUCGACUGUGAAAUCUCCGGGCUUAACCCGGAAAGGUCAGCCGAUACUGCGGGGCUAGAGUGCAGAAGGGGCAACUGGAAUUCUCGGUGUAGCGGUGAAAUGCGUAGAUAUCGAGAGGAACACCUGCGGCGAAGGCGGGUUGCUGGGCUGACACUGACGCUGAGGCGCGAAAGCUAGGGGAGCGAACGGG